GUCAACUGAUAAUAUUUCCAU
rnacentral:miRNA from 1 species